rnacentral:rRNA from 1 species
UACAGGGGAUGCAAGUGUUAUUCGGAAUUAUUGGGCGUAAAGCGUCUGUAGGUGGAUAUUUAAGUCUUUUGUCAAAUCUUUGGGCUUAACCUAAAAAAGGCAAAAGAAACUGUUUAUCUAGAGUUUGGUAGGGGUGAAGGGAAUUUCCAGUGGAGCGGUGAAAUGCGUAGAUAUUGGAAGGAACACCGAAAGCGAAGGCACUUUACUGGGCCAUAACUGACACUGAGAGACGAAAGCUAGGGGAGCAAAUCGG